rnacentral:lncRNA from 1 species
CGCCACCACUCACUAUCCCACCUCGGGAUCUCCUCCCGAUCCAAAAACCCACCGGGUCAACCACCUUCUCCCCUCGACCCUCCCAGAUCCACCUCUCCAAUCCGCCUCUGACCACCUCCCUGGUUUACCGCGCCGCCCAAAUCGCAGCAGCCAACCAUCAUUCUCCUACCUCCUGCCCGAGCAAGCACGGCCAAGGCCACACUCACCGAAGUUCUGUACCAACCCAAGCUGCUCCGCCUCCGUUGUCGUCCCAGCGGAGUCCCGUCCUCCCGAGCUCUCCCGCAGGCAGCCCAGUGCACGCUUCAGUCAGGAUCGGGGUGGCUACCCGUGCAGCAAACAGGAGCACGAGCCCCUCCUUCCACACCCCGCAGCUGAGGGACGCCCCGACCCCGUUGUUCAUCGCCGAACCAGUAGAUGAUCCUCGCCACCCUUGCUCAAGGUCGCGCCUGCCGCUCGGAACCGCAGGCCCUCCUCAGCGCAUAGCUCCUCCCGUUUCUCCCUCUCUUAUCUCUCUCUGUUCUCAUGUUUCUCUGUCGACAGGAGCAUCCGCGCCAUGGCCUCGCUGAGCUUUGCCCGCACCAGCGCCUCGAUGAGAUCCUCGCCUGCCCUGCGCCAUGGACCCGUGCCAGCCUUCCUUCCCCGCGCCGUUCCUCGCGCGCCGGACCUCCCCAACUUCGCCGGAGCACCGCAGUGUCCGCUUGAUCCUCUGCUUCAUCGCCGCCAUGGGUCACGAGAGCCUCGAUCCCCCUGCCAUGUCGCCUCGCCAGGACAUACCGAUCGCCCGGAUCCGUGUCUCCGCCGUCUUGCCCGUUCCGGCCGGAUCCCGCCGGCUGGGCCCUGUCCCCGGUCACCGAUGCCCUCGCCGGAGACCACCGGCAAGCGGCAGCGCCAAGCCCGCCUGCAAGCCGCUCCAGCACCGCUGCUCCUCUGCUUCUCUGUCGAACAGAGGGCGCCGCGCCCGUAUCCUCCCCGCUUCGCGCAUCUGGGCCCAGCCAGCGCCAAGCCAGCCUGCCUGUCCUCUUCACCAACGGGCCAAGCCCAUGGUGAGCAGCGCCCUCCUGUUCCUCGCUGUGUGCUAUUCUGCUAUGCUGCGCCCUUCAGUUUCGGCCCAUAACCUGUUUUUUCUGUUCUGCCAAUUUCCUAAGUAUUCCGGAGAUUGCAGUUUUACAGAAACCCCCCCUAGUUUCAUGCAUUUAAUAACUUCACAACCGUGCAUCGGAUCUAAAUAAAUUAUAUAUGAAACUUGCUUAGAAUUUUGUCUAGAUUCAUAAUAUCCAACUUUCAUCUAUGUUUGAAAUGUUUAAAAUGUUGUUUGAUUAAAUUUUCUCCUAUGCCAUGUUAAAAUGCUUUAAUUCAUAACUAAUUAACCGUAGCUCCAAAUUUAAUAAACUUUAUAUGUAAAUGGGGUAGAAUUUGGCCUAGUUUAUCAUGGUGACAUUGUUUUGCAUGUUAAACAACUCUAAAAAUAUGGUUUAUGGCAUAACAGGACCUAACCUAAUAUAUGCACAUGAGGAGUUUCCGGAUUUGUUGUUCGUUGCUUCCGGCCUCAUUUAACCUUGUCUAGAUGUGUAGUUUGUUUAUGCUUCAUCUCUUGCCAUGUUAAGAACAUUUAAUAUUAUUGGGGUACAUAAACGAGAGAGAACUAAAUAAUUGAUGUGGUGUUCCGUCAAUAUGCAACCCGUUGCAUAUUGAGCUCCACUUAACUUGUAGUGUUGUUUGUGCACUUUGCCAUGCCAUGCAUAUUUAAACCGGACAUGCAUCAUACUUCGUUGUGCAUCAUUCCAUGUUUAUGUGAUGUUUGUUUACGGUGUUGUUUGCUUCUUUCCGGUGAUGCUUCUUCGAGUUGUAUCCGGUAACGUCGUGUUGUGAGGAUUCGUUCGUCUACGUCCGUUUGUCUUCUUCAUGGACUCGUUCUUCUUCCUUGCGGGAUUUCAGGCAAGAUGACCAUACCCUCGAAAUCACUUCUAUCUUUGCUUGCUAGAUGCUCGCUCUUUUGCUAUGCCUAUGCUGCGAUACCUACCACUUGCUUAUCAUGCCUCCCAUAUUGUUGAACCAAGCCCCUAACUCACCUUGUCCUAGCAAACCGUUGAUUGGCUAUGUUACCGCUUUGCUCAGCCCCUCCUAUAGCGUUGUUAGUUGCAGGUGAAGAUUGGAGCUUGUUCCAUGUUGGAACAUGGAUAUUUUGUUGGGAUACCACAAUAUAUCUUAUUUAAUUAAUGCAUCUAUAUACUUGGUAAAGGGUGGAAGGCUCGGCCUUAUGCUUGGUGUUUUGUUCCACUCUUGCCGCCCUAGUUUCCGUCAUAUCGGUGUUAUGUUCCCGGAUUUUUCGGUCCUUACGCGGUUGGGUAAUAAUGGGAACCCCUUGACAGUUCGCUUUGAAUAAAACUCCUCCAGCAAGGCCCAACCUUGGUUUUACCAUUCGCCACCUAGCCUUUUUCCCUUGGGAGUCACGCAUCCCGAGGGUCAUCUUUAUUUUAAACCCCCCGGGCCAGUGCUUGUCUAAGUGUUGGUCCAAACUAGAGCCACUUGCGGCGCCACCUCGGGGAAACUUGAGGGAUGGUUUUAGCUGUACGUAGUGUUCAUCCGGUGUUGCCCUGAGAACGAGAUAUGUGCAGCUCCUAUCAGGAUGUCGGCGCAUCGGGCGGUCUUGCUGGACUUGUUUUACCAUUGUCGAGGAUGUCUUGUAGAACCGGGAUACCGAGUUUGAUCGGAAUGUCUCGGGAGGAGGUCUAUUCCUUCGUUGACCGUGAGAGCUUGUCAUGGGCUAAGUUGGGACACCCCUGCAGGGAUUUGAACUUUUGAAAAACGUGCCCGCGGUUAUGGGCAGAUGGGAAUUUGUUAAUGUCCGGUUGUAGAUAACUUGAACCUUAACUUAAUUAAAAUGAGUCAACUGCGUGUGUAACCAUGAUGGUCUCUUUCCGGUGGAGUCCGGGAAGUGAACACGGUGUUGGAGUUAUGCUUGACGUAGGUUGUUCUAGGAUCACUUCUUGAUCAUACUUUUAUCGACCGUGCUUUGCCUUCUCUUCUCGCUCUCAUUUGCGUAUGUUAGCCACCAUAUAUGCUAGUCGCUUGCUGCAGUUCCACCUCAUACCUUUGUCUUACCCAUAAGCUUAAAUAGUCUUGAUCGCAAGGGUGCGAGAUUGCUGAGUCCCCGUGGCUCACAGAUACUUCCAAAACCAGCUUGCAGGUGUCGUUGAACCGUGCAGAUGACGCAACCAAGCUCAAGGAGGACCUCGAUGAAGAUCUUGCCCUUUGUGUUGUUUCGUUCUAGUUGAUCAGUAGUGGAGCCCAGUUGGGGUCGAUCGGGGAUCUGUGUAGCUUUUGGGGUAGUCUUCUUUUAUUUUGGGUUCCAUAGUCGGACCUUGAUUGUAUCUGGUUGAUGUAAUGCUUUAAUUCAUGUAUUGUGUGAAGUGGCGAUUGUAAGCCAACUAUGUAUUCUUUUCCCUUAUGUAUUACAUGGGUUGUGUGAAGAUUACCUCACUUGCGACAUUGCUUUCAAUGCGGUUAUGCCUCUAAGUCGUGCUUCGACACGUGGGAGAUAUAGCCGCAUCGAGGGCGUUACAAGUUGGUAUUAGAGCCUUCCCCGACCAUAGGAGCCCCCAUUGCUUGAUCGUUUUUAGCGGCCGAGUUGUGUCUAGAAAGAUGUUUUGAGUCAUUUAGGAUUUAUAUAUCGGAGAGUUUAGGAAUUCUUUUUACUCCCCAGUCUCCUCAUCGCUCUGGUAAGGCAUCCUGACGUAGAGUUUUGACUCUUCUCUUCUCAAAUUUCACUAAACUUUUAUUAGGAUCACGCGGGUAUCUUGGAAUCGUUCCGAUCGUUUUGUGAUGAGAACAUUGUCUUGGUGCCUCCUGUCAGGGGUUUUGUGGCAGUGUCCCGGGGAGUUGAGCUCCCAGGUGUUGUCGUCAUAAUUUUAUCGUUGCAGUUCUGGAAUACCUGAGUUUAGUUCGCCGACAUCGAAAAUCUCUUUUAUGCAGUUGUUGGUGAGAUAACCUCGACACCACCCAGUACUGGGGCGGGAGUUCGGGAGUAUUGCCAUAGCUUGUAUAACGGAUGCUUUUCGAAGGUUGAGGUAGAUGAUUUCCGAAGGUUUCUUGGUUAUGUGUUGAAGGAUGGAUACAGCUGGAUGUAGAAUUUGCUAGCUUUGGGUGAGAUAUUAUGCUUCCCCUGUAUCCCCAACACCUGAUUGCAUAACCAGAAAAUUUCGGGAGUUUAUAAGUGGGAAUUCAAGUAGCUCUUAGGACAUCUUUCCGUCAGAUGUAUGAUAUGAAAUUGGGGUUCGACGUCUAGUGGUCCGCCUAUUCACGGUUGGUUUUAUAGUGGUCUCGUUGUGUCUUAAAGAGUCCUUGGCUAUGCUGACUCGGGGACGCUUUGUAUGUCAUGUGCACUGCCUUGUACAUGAUGGUGUUGUACGAUCGAGCCCGUGUAGGCCCCACCAUGAAAACUUCGGACGAAAUCUCUAUCAUAUGUUUGUUCUGGCUUAUUUUGCAAGCCAAUCCUUUGUUUUGUUUUUGAAUUGUGGUAUUCGAGUUGCUUCAAUGUCAAGUGUUGAUUCCAUACCUUCCCCAAAUGGUGUUCUCAUACUCCGAUGUGAAUACUAAUCCUUCUCGAUAAUCGAGAUUGUUAUGCCAAUCUUGUUCUACCGGGGUGUCUCUCUUCAAGUGGAUCCGAUCACUUCAACAUUCACAAGAUCAAUUAUCAGUUCUUCUCAAUUUUGUUUGUUUCAUCCAUCUCCAAGUUGCUUUUGUUUUUUCCCGCCCUCCCUCCCUUGUUUUUCUUUAAGGACUCAGAUUUCUUAAUCGAGUAUCCAUCUUAUUGAUGUGAAGCCUCUCUAUUCUUUUCCUUCAAUGUUCUUAUCCGGUGAUUCUCAUGAAGAUACUAACGGAACUUCUAGUUCAUCAUUCUUCGUUUCUUUUAUCUUCUCCGGUGGUUUCAAGUCAAGCUUUGUGGAUCAUAUCCUUUUUCCUCGUUUCAAUACAUUUUCUUACCGGUGCACCUCUUUAUCAUUCACCGCUCGCUAUUCUAUUGUUCCGGAGUGCUCAAGAUAUCUCGAAGAUUCGUGUCUCCACUCUACGUUCAUUCAAGCUCUUUCGAGGAAGUUAUCUCAUUCAAGUCUUUUAAUUCAACAGGUGCAUUCUCUCUUUUAAAUCCUUCAACGGUGUUUUCUUUUGAGUGGGCCCUAACCCACAGGUCUUUUCCCAGGAUCUUACCUGACUCUUCUUAUUUUCCCGGAGCUAUCCUCAAAUUUCUUUUUGAAGUUUGACGUAAGAACGAUUUAUCAUCAGUCAAAUGCUUUUCUCCAAGAUCUGUCGAAUUAUUUUCAUCGUUGGCUCAACCUCUUCGUUUUGAUUCUUCUGGAGUGUCUAAAUAAUUCUUGGUGGUGUUUCUCGUCGUCAUUCUCAACAUUUGAAGACCGAAGAAGAGUUUUUCCUCCAUAUCUUAUCCGUUCUCUCAGAGACUCGUGGUUCUAGCUUGAUGCCAUCCUCUCAUAAUUGUUUUGAUCGUGAGAAUUCUUUUCACCCACCCGGAGCAAUUCAAGAUUCUUUUCAGUUUGUUUCUCCGGAGCCCAUCAUCUCAGAAUUUAUUCAUUCUCAGCUUUCAGCUAUGGUUCUCCAAAUCUUACCGGUGAUUCGUUCAAGUGAUCUCUAAUCAGUUUGUGAUCCCUUCGUUCUCAUGUAUCUAGAUUCUCUCGAGCAUCUUCGUUCAUUUGCAAAUUCUUCCCGGUGAUUCGUUAUCUUUUAUUCGUUCUUUUUCAAUUCUUACGGUGGUUCGUUCAAGAGUUCUCUUCCUUGGUUAUUAUAUCAAUGCAUUCGUGCUUUCCAAAUGCUAACGGUGGUUCAUUGAAGUCUUUUCUCAAGUUUGUGCUAUAUAUAUCUUAAUCCUUUCUACGAGAAUAAGUAAUAUGCUAAAUCCGUUCAUUGUCAUCAAUUUAAUUGGUGAAGGAUAAGCAUAACAUAAUUCUUAUUCUUGUUCAUCCAAGUGAUUAAUUCCUUACUCCGGAGGCUCAUCAAAUUCUUGAUUUCACUUGUUCAUCUUUCUUUUCUGGAGUUCCAAGCUUUUCCGCAUUAUCUCGUCGCAAAGCUCCAUCUAAAUCAUUGCAAGGCUUCACCUUGUGUUUUCAACUACCCUUUCUUUCCGUUUGAUCAUUCUUUUGUUAACGGAGUUCUUCAUGGAGGCUCUACAUGAUGGUUCAUCAAGAAUUUAAUUCCUUCCCGAAGUGUUCAUUGAGAUUCUUUUCAGAGGAGCUCAAGCAAUCUCCAUCUUGCAACCCGGAGUGCAAUUCUUUCUUCCGUAUCAUUGGAGGUGGUAUUUUGUCAUUCUUGAUAAUCUGAGUUCAUGCUUCAUGAUUCGAAUGUUGUUAAGAAUGAGAUAUUUUAAAUCCAUCAACCUCUUCGUUGGAAUUAUCUUGGGUUAUAUUUUACCUAAAGCCUUCCCUAAGGAUUGUUGCUAUCUAUGGUGAUUAUAAAUGAUCCAAGUUCUUCAUUUAUCCUCCGGGUGAAAGAAUCUUCUCGUCUCCUUGUUCGUAUCAAUCCAAUUUAUCAUUUUCAUUAGUGGCAGAAUUUCACCUCGUAGUUUUGAGAUGUUCUUCAUAAGCCCACUACAAGCUUACUCUUUUCGUUGUUGGUGCAAUAACUCCGUUCGACUUUUCUCCUGAGGAUGCCUUUUCAAGCUCUUUUAUGGUAGAAGUUGGCAUUUUCUUCUCCAUUCUUUUAUUUCAAUUAUCUAUAUUUCUAUUCUUUCGUUCCGGAGGCAUUGUGGUGUUGUUCUUUUCACCCAUCUUCUUGUUUGGUCAGGACCGUGUUCUUUUCUCGGUUUAUCCAUUUAACCGGAGUGUUGUGCCCUUCUGUUCAAGUUCUUUUCGUCUUAUCAAGUUUCAUAUCUCUUUCUACCGGAGUGCUGUCCGAAUUUGUUCUUCCUUGUUCCUCUUCCCUACCGGAGUGUUUUCAACUUUGUUCUUCUUUGUUGCAUUAUUCCUUUCAAUUUGUUCAACCUCUCAAGGUUCUUUGGUUUCACUCGUUUGUCAAAGAAGCAACUUAGUUUUACCCCACUUAUCUUUCUCUUCCGUUUUCCCCUCCGGUGCCAUUCUAGAUCUCGGGACGAGAUCCUCUCGUAGUGGUGGAGCGUUGUAACGCCCCGAGACCGAUGUGCCAGGUGUCCUCCAGUUAUUCGCUGUUGUUGCCUUGUCUUUGCUUGCGUGUCAUGCAUUUCAUGUCAUGUCAUCAUCCGCGUUGCAUCAUCAUGUUUUAAAACUUGCAUUCGUCCGGGUUCUCCGAGUUCUCUCUGUUGUCCGUUCUGAGCCCAAUCACACUUGCACGCGCCCGCGGCAUGUCCAAAAUAGUAUUUUAUAAGUGGCCGGAAAAUGUUCUCAGAAUGGGAUGAAAGUUGGCAUGUGGUGUUGUUAUGUUGUUAGUAGGUCGCCUGCCAAGUUUCAUCGCAUUCGGAGCUUGUUUGAUAGCCCAACCGUUAAACUAUAGCGGCAAUAUAGCCGGGUCUAACGUCGGGCGUUUUCUGUCUCCGGAAACAGAAGCAGGGCUUCUCUCUCUUCUCUCCUCUCAACCUGAUGCCUUCUGCACAGCCCACAAGCUCCAACCUACCCCUCUUCGCGUCCGGAGCCGUUCGAUGCGAUCGCACGGUCCGAAAACCCCUCCUGCGCAGUGCACCGACCCCUCACAUGCGCGUCCGAGACUGUCCCGAACCCGACCCGAUCAGUUGUCACUGUUGGACUCAGAACAUCCCCAAAUAUCUACAAAACAUCUCCGUUUUGUUAAUUGGACUUCCUAACAUAUAUUUUCUCGGUCGUCCGAUUAUAAUCGUACGGACCGAAUACCCCCUACCCUAAUCCAACCUGCUAUAUAAAGAAACUAACCCUAUUCCUAACCUGUCCCAUCCUCCUAUUCCAUGCCGCCGCCACCGCUCACCAUCCCACCUCGGGAUCUCCUCCCGAUCCAAAAACCCACCGGGCCAACCACCUUCUCCCCUCGACCCUCCCAGAUCCACCUCUCCAAUCCGCCUCCGACCACCUCCCUGGUUUACCGCGCCGCCCAAAUCGCAGCAGCCAACCAUCAUUCUCCUACCUCCUGCCCGAGCAAGCACGGCCAAGGCCACGCUCACCGAAGUUCUGUACCA